GAUGAACGCUGGCGGCGUGCCUAAUACAUGCAAGUCGAGCGAACUUUUGGGAGCUUGCUCCCAACAGUUAGCGGCGGACGGGUGAGUAACACGUGGGUAACCUGCCUGUAAGACUGGGAUAACUUCGGGAAACCGGAGCUAAUACCGGAUAACAUUGAAGACCACAUGGACUUCAAUUAAAAGGUGGCUUUUAGCUACCACUUACAGAUGGACCCGCGGCGCAUUAGCUAGUUGGUGAGGUAACGGCUCACCAAGGCGACGAUGCGUAGCCGACCUGAGAGGGUGAUCGGCCACACUGGGACUGAGACACGGCCCAGACUCCUACGGGAGGCAGCAGGAGGGAAUCUUCCGAAAUAGACGAAAGGCUGACGGAGCAACGCCGGGGGAGCGAAGAAGGCCUUCGGGUCGUAAAGCUCUGUUGUUAGGGAAGAACAAGUAUCGUUCGAAUAGGGCGGUACCUUGACGGUACCUAACCAGAAAGCCACGGCUAACUACGUG
rnacentral:rRNA from 1 species